UGGGCGGAAACUGUUUCUGUCUUUAGCUAAUGGCGGCGAGAGAUGUGUUUGCUGGGGGAUCGCUGUGUCUUCCACUAUCUGUAUUUCUCUGGAGAGCAUCGAGGGAUCACUACAGAAUGGCAAGACCAGCUGAGGGCAUUUGGUCAAAGGCAAGUCAAGUGGGAUGAUGGGUGAUACGAUUAAGCCAGGACCACCCUUACAAUUUCCUCCCAGUGAAGACUCCUUCAAAGCAAGCAGUGCUGUGGUUUGCAUAUGUAUGCAGUAAUGCCAGUCUAAGCCCAGUGUCGGAGUACAAUGAAUGAACCAGGUUGAGUGAAGAUGGUGUACCUAGUGGAUGAUCCAUGAGCCACGGUCAGUCAGCAGCUGUCUGUAACUGAUGCAGCAGCCUAUCACUGAAGUGGAACUACAAGUCUGGGCGAGAAUGAAAGUCAAGUCAUUGUACAUGAAGAAUUUGAAAAUUGAUUUCUCUGUGACAGAAGCAAUCACUAGGCUGUAAUUAUACUCAAUCUGUUUACUGAACAAGGUUGAAUAACCCAUUAAAUUGAUACUUGCCUCAGAAAAGCCAAGAUAGGAUUGCAAUUUAUUCAUUCCUGGUGCCUUGUGGUUUUAAAGGGUUUUAUCAUGAAUUGUAACUAGUGUAUUGUUUGUGAUAACAUAAUCUGUCAUUACUGCAGCUUUGUUUAUGGUAUGACCUUUUCAAAUAAAAGGUGAUGGAAAAGCA